rnacentral:misc_RNA from 1 species
GAUGAAGAACGUGGCGAAAUGCGAUACGUAAUGUGAAUUGCAGAAUUCAGUGAAUCAUCGAAUCUUUGAACGCAUAUUGCGCUCUCUGGUAUUCCGGAGAGCAUGCUUGUUUGAGUAUCAGUAAACACCUCAACUUCCAUAUCUUUUUUUGAAAUGGGAGUUGGACUUGAGUGAUCCCAACGCUUUUCCUCACCGAAAAGUGGCGGGUUACUUGAAAUGCAGGUGCAGCUGGACUUUUCUCUGAGCUAUAAGCAUAUCUAUUUAGUCUGCCUAAAAAACAGAUUAUUACCUUUGCUGCAGCUAACAUAAAGGAGAUUAGUUCUUGUGCUGACUGAUGCAGGAUUCACAAAGACAGCUUCGGCCGACUUUGUAAACUCGAUCUCAAAUCAAGUAAGACUACCCGCUGAACUUAAGCAUAUCAAUAAGCGGAGGA